rnacentral:tRNA from 1 species
CAAAUUAGAACUUGGGUAGGUAAGUAUUUCAUUUACAUUGGAAAAGAGUUGUGCAAAUCAAUAUAAUUUGA